CUAGCUUAUGUAUGUAGGUGAACUUUCUGUCCAACGCUGCGACUGUAGUUUAUUUAACUGGUUCUUAACUCGUUUGGCAGGUAGGUGUCUGAAGCUGACGGAUAACUUCCAGAACGACACGCGGGAGCACAGAGUGGCUUAAGGUAGGAUGACUACAGAGCACCAGGUGUGGGAUUUCCUUUUAAGUUGGAAUGCCGAAUCAUUAGUCUUCUUCUCUUGUACUGCCGCUGCAGUUACAAUCUGGAGUUAAUGCGGACGGUAACUCAGAAAUGACAGCCUUUACCUAUAAGUCAAAAAUAGGAUAGUUUUACCAACACUAAAGGCUUUGAGUGGAGAUAGGUUACCAGAUAAGUUUUUUGAGACAGGCACUAAAAGCGUUUUUAUCUUUCCUUUUAGGAUGUCCUCGAUGAUUUGGAAAUUGGAUCUUAAGAGGCAUGGGUGACUUAAAGUGUGUCAAAACUCCACAGAUGGACGUACACUUGUAACAAGGCUGUGAAUAAAUACGUUGAUAUGC
rnacentral:lncRNA from 1 species